rnacentral:rRNA from 1 species
AACGAACGCUGGCGGCAGGCCUAACACAUGCAAGUCGAGCGAGGACUUCGGUCCUAGCGGCGGACGGGUGAGUAACGCGUGGGAACGUGCCCUUUGCUUCGGAAUAGCCCUGGGAAACUGGGAGUAAUACCGGAUGAGCCCUUUGGGGGAAAGAUUUAUCGGCGAAGGAUCGGCCCGCGUUGGAUUAGGUAGUCGGUGGGGUAAUGGCCUACCAAGCCGACGAUCCAUAGCUGGUUUGAGAGGAUGAUCAGCCACACUGGGACUGAGACACGGCCCAGACUCCUACGGGAGGCAGCAGUGGGGAAUCUUAGACAAUGGGGGAAACCCUGAUCUAGCCAUGCCGCGUGAGCGAUGAAGGCCUUAGGGUUGUAAAGCUCUUUCAGCUGGGAAGAUAAUGACGGUACCAGCAGAAGAAGCCCCGGCUAACUCCGUG